rnacentral:rRNA from 1 species
GACGAACGCUGGCGGCGUGCUUAACACAUGCAAGUCGAACGAAGAGCGAUGGAAGCUUGCUUCUAUCAAUCUUAGUGGCGAACGGGUGAGUAACGCGUAAUCAACCUGCCCUUCAGAGGGGGACAACAGUUGGAAACGACUGCUAAUACCGCAUACGAUCCAAUCUCGGCAUCGGGACUGGAUGAAAGGUGGCCUCUAUUUAUAAGCUAUCACUGAAGGAGGGGAUUGCGUCUGAUUAGCUAGUUGGAGGGGUAACGGCCCACCAAGGCGAUGAUCAGUAGCCGGUCUGAGAGGAUGAACGGCCACAUUGGGACUGAGACACGGCCCAGACUCCUACGGGAGGCAGCAGUGGGGAAGCUUCCGCAAUGGACGAAAGUCUGACGGAGCAACGCCGCGUGAGUGAUGACGGCCUUCGGGUUGUAAAGCUCUGUUAAUCGGGACGAAUGGUUCUUGUGCGAAUAGUGCGAGGAUUUGACGGUACCGGAAUAGAAAGCCACGGCUAACUACGUG